CUACUUUAAUGAUUAUAAAAGAACUUAAAACAUAUUAUAAGACGUAAUAAUAUAUUGUAAUCACAAUGUUGAAAUUAUAGAUUAUGAAUUAAUAAGUUGUGAAGGUCCGUGAUGAGAUGUCAUGGGAAUUGAAGUUACUUUGCAAUCACCAUGUUGUGUACUAAAAUAUAAUUGAUAGUUCAAAUUCGUGGUACGUGAAUGAUUAGGAUAAUAAAGUCUUAAGUUAAAGAUUGUAGAUUUGACUAAAAAAUGAAAAGUAAACCAAUGAAGUUAG
rnacentral:lncRNA from 1 species